UAUCGGUAAGUUAUGCUGUUUAUAAUUGUAAUAUUGAAAUGAAGAUUGGAUGCAAUAAUUUAUCAAUGGCAAUUGGCUAUAAAAAUGUGCUUUAUUUCUUUAGUUUUUCAUAGGGUGGACAACAUUCCGGUGCCCAUGCUGCUUUGUUUGGCAAAGGCAUGACGUCAAUCACCAGUACUGUUUCCUCAGUUCCAUGUAUAUGCUAUCGCUCUGCGCCAAUGCGGGAAAAUAUUCUCUUAAGAUGACAUCAAAGUACAAGUAAUUCAAGGACACAAUGUUGAAAGGUUUUGAAGCAAGUUAUCACGGCACAACAGAUAAUAUGGAUCUUCAACAAGCACAUAUUAGAAUUCGGAUCCUAUGGAAUCCGAAUAACAGACAAAAGAUUUAUUUAAUGAUUUAUAAAGCCUGAAGUAUUAGACUAAGCUCAAUGCAUCAACUUUGUACAAAAAAAAUUAACGUCAUUUUAAAAAUGACCUUCACAUUGGAUUGAAAGAAAUGUUUACAAUUUCUGCAUAUUCCAGGAAAGUGGCUUCUGAGUGAGGAGUCUAAAUUACGUUGAUUUCUCAUGGUCUAAGGUAGGGGGAAAACCACGGCCAUUACUACUUACGCUGUUUUCAAGAGAUGAACAGAAAAAAUGAAUGAGAAUUUCAGUUUUUAGAGUAAUAGCAAGAACUUUGGAGAUAAUAUCAAUUUAAAUUACUUGUACCUGAAAGUAUUCUGAUAGACUUCUUCGUGUUUAUUCAUGAUUGGACGUCUUAUGAAUAGAAAGAGGCAGAAUCUCCUGCAAUUGAUAUUGGAACAGCGCAAUCUGCAAAGAAUACAUUAGUGGCAAUUUAAUUGAACAACGGCUUAAUAAAACUCAUCUAUGCAAUGAAUAGCAUUUCGGCUCCAGCCGCGAAUUCUAAAUAUGGGAGAUGUCUGGAUUGGCAGAUAAAAUGGAACUGAAGUGAUAUCGGUAUACAUAGGUCAGACAACUUACGACCAUUAUGGAUGCAUUUUUUCUUGGAUAAGUGUGCCGUCACCAUCAGUAAUACAGCUUUCUCGGUUCCAUAUACAAGACAUCAAUACUCACCAAUUUCCUUAAGAUGAUUUGAAGAAUCAAAUUUUCAUGAUGUCUACAUAUUUUAACCCAAGUGAUCACGGCACAAGAUACCAUCUGGAGCCUUCAACCUUGCCAUUCGGAGCCUUUUCAAUGGAACUAUGAAUGGAGAUCCAAUAGAUGCAGUUGAGUUAGUAAAAUUCAUUUUGGCUUCACCUAAAUUUAUAUUGUUACCAAAAAAAAUACAUAAAUGGUCUGCACAAUGGAAAUGUGAUUAUAUAUGUAGUUAAUAUUAUUUGAGGUUAUUGAUACUUAUAUGAAAUGUUUUAUUCUUUUCUA